AUUGAACGCUGGCGGCAGGCCUAACACAUGCAAGUCGAACGAGUGGCGGACGGGUGUGUAAUGUCUGGGAAACUGCCUGAUGGAGGGGGAUAACUACUGGAAACGGUAGCUAAUACCGCAUACCAUCAGAUGUGCCCAGAUGGGAUUAGCUUGUUGGUGGGGUAACGGCUCACCAAGGCGACGAUCCCUAGCUGGUCGGAGAGGAUGACCGGCCACACUGGAACUGAGACACGGUCCAGACGCCGACGGGAGGAAGAAGUGGGGAAUAUUGCACAAUGGGCGCAAGCCUGAUGCAGCCAUGCCGCGUGUAUGAAGAAGGCCUUAGGGUUGUAAAGUACUUUCAGCGGGGAAGCGUUACCCGCAGAAGAAGCACCGGCUAACUCCGUGCCAGCAGCCGCGGUAAUUC
rnacentral:rRNA from 1 species